CUCGUCAGGUUCGUAACCCGGUGAGUCACGACGGAAACUCCCUGAUUUUUUUUUUUUUUUUAAAUUUAAGAGAGUUUUCUCAAGUUAUUUUUAAGUCAAACGGGAUUGUAUUGGUUUUUUUAUGCUGUAUUGUCAGACCUAUCAUGAUGGCUCUUCUCUUGCUCUUUGUACAUCCCCUUCUGGACCAGUGCCUGCUUCACCUACACCUACUCACAUGACUGACCUUUCUGUUUACUUGCCCCAGACCCCAGCUAGUGAUUGUUUUAAUCUUUAGAUCAGAACAUCUCCACCUGGUAGCUUAUCUAACGGGUGGUGAGGACAUGCCCCUGUGCUAGUUUCCCUGGUAACCCACAAGCCAACCAGACCUCAUUUCCCCCUAUAACCCGUAACCCUCCUCCCCCCAGCGAAGUCUGUGGCCAUGUCCUGCCUGCAGUCAGCCACACACAGUGGGGUGUUGCUCCUGGACCUUACUUCUGACAUCAAAGAGGUAAAGAUCCAGGCAUAAUGCUAUAUUUUGAUUCACCCUGCAAUGAAUGGCUUGUUGCUGUAGAAGCAUUUCGUGUCAGUCCUUGGUCCUACCAGAACCCCAGCUCCAGGGAACCCAGCAACAGUCAUGGCAAUGGCUUCAAUUGUUUCUCAGGCCUCUAACCUACAGUGGUCUUCAGAGCAUGUUGGCUUCACUUCUGCCUCCCAAAGCUCAUGAGCUUCACUUUUGCCUAACUCAAACUUGGAACCACACAGGAAAGGGCAUUCUGAAAAACAUAGGCUCCCCAGCCCAAGUGUACCAUAGAACAGUCCAGCACAUACCUGAGACUGAUCUCCUUUGUUCUGCAUCUACCGUCAUGAAAAGAAACGUCAUGGGGAGAGAGAUGGAUUGGGAGCUCGGAACUGGCAUAGGCACACAUAUCAAGUAGAAGGCCAACAGGGGACCUGCUGUAUAGCACAGGGAUUCAGUGUUCUGUGAUAACCUAUAUGGGAAUGGAUAUGUGUAUGUGUAAAACUGAAUCAUUUUGCUGUAGAGCAGAAAUUAACACAAUAUUGUAAAUCAAUUAUACUUUAAUAAAAUUAAAAAAGAGGGAAAUGUUGUGAUUACUGAUUUAUCUUCUCAAAUACCUCAGUGCUAGGAGGGAAGGACCCUGGAUGGUGAAUGCAAAUAUUUCAGCCACUGGAAAAGUGGAACCUCCUCUGAAAAUUAGCACUUUUAAAAUACACGCCUGUCAUUGUCAGCUAGAAACUUAAACUACAAUGAAACUACCAAAUCUGCUACCUAGUAAGGCCCUGAGUAGUGUGUGUGUGUGUGUGUGUGUGUGUGUGUGUGUGUGUGGUUGGUUGUUUUUGGUUUGUGUCUCUGCUAUCUCAAAUUUAGAUUGCUCCAAUACCAAAGCCAGAAGGGACUCUUGAAUUUACCCUCCUCUCCCUGUCCGCUCUAUGGGUCUAGCACUGAGGAGCAGGGAAAUAAAGAGGAGGAGGAGGGAUGGCUAGUCUGCAUCCUGGAUAAUUGCAACAGGUCAUUUUGUUGGUUGAAACAAGCCCCUAUAUUGCAUUUGUUUUCCAGGCAGAGGUCUAAGUGCUUUACAAAGAAUAACUAACUCAAUCCUCAUACCAAUUCUAUAAGAUCUUUCUAUUAUUAACUCUCCUUCUGGAUAAGGUAAGAGGCAUAGAGAGGUUAAGUAAAUUGCUCAGGAUCACACAGCUGGAAUUCAUAUCAUGAUUAACUAGCUUUAUGUGUAAAAGUUUCAAAAUUAUUCAUUAAGUUCAAAAGCUGAAGAAACUGAUUAUACGUUCAUUUUUUAUUAUUACUUAUAAAAACUAUUCAGAACAUAGAGCAUUAGUUGUCAUUUAAAGAAUGACUUUUGGAGUUCCCUUCAUGGCUCAGUGGUUAACAAACCCAACUAGGAUCCAUGAGGAUGCGGGUUCCA